UACGUAGGGGGCAAGCGUUGUCCGGAAUCAUUGGGCGUAAAGCGCACGUAGGCGGAUUGUUAAGUCAGGGGUGAAAUCCUGGAGCUCAACUCCAGAACUGCCUUUGAUACUGGCGAUCUCGAGUCCGGGAGAGGUGAGUGGAACUGCGAGUGUAGAGGUGAAAUUCGUAGAUAUUCGCAAGAACACCAGUGGCGAAGGCGGACUCACUGGCCCGGUACUGACGCUGAGGUGCGAAAGCGUGGGGAGCA
rnacentral:rRNA from 1 species